CAGGAAGUGGUGCCUCAUGAAAAAGGAAGAAAUGAGUGGCUGCAGCGCGCCGAGCGUUGGGUACAGGAAAGUGAUCCACCCACGGAAACUACAAAAACAAGCGUGAGCGACAGCUGCACCCGGAGCCACGCAGACGUCGAGCGUGUGAUGGUGUCGCUCGCUGGGGACGGCUCUUCAGGUGUUUGGCUUUUCUUUGCAGCGUGAGAUCAGGAGGAACUCUGAGAUGACGGCGUCCAGCUUCAACCUGAUCCUCACCCUCUGCCUGAGCCUCAACUUCCCCCGAAGCCACGGUGGUACGGAGGUGGUUAUGAGACGCAGCCGCACCGUGAGCCCAGACGGCGCCGCCUCCAUCUCCUGCGAAUGCACCGCAGAGAUCAAGAAGGUUGAAGACGUGCGACUCAACGUCGUGUCCCCCGCAGACAAAAAAAGGACGGUGCUGUGUCAGAAAGGAAGCAACAGCUGCCACCUCAGGAACAUCUACAUGAUGCUUCAGAACCCUGAGAACCCCAAGAAGUGGCUGUUCUUCAUGAACCAGGUUGAAGCCAAGGACAUGAACCUGACGUACGAGUGCGAGUUCACCGUGAGCAGCGCAGAUGGCCUUCACCACACCUGGAGAGGGGAACCAGCCACACUACUGCAAGGUCAAGAGGAAGCGGAGAAGGGCUGCACGCCUGCUCCUCCUCCUUCGCCUUCACCUGCACCGCAGCCCGAUCCAAUGGGCUGGGUUCUGAUCGCCCUGCUGGCUCUGCUGCUGCUCUGCAUCUGCGUCAUCGUCCACCUCUGCGUUCGACUCAGGAAACGCAAGGAAGAAUAUGACAGCGGCACCUAUGUGAUAAUGAGGAAAGCUCCUCUGCUGAGGAACGCGCCCGCUGCUGUUUACUGUGGCAACUGAGCCGUCUGUGGUGACCUUUGACCUCAGGCUGAGCUCUUCAGACCCUGCUGACGCUCCGGCCGAGUGAUGUACAGCGGAGGGAGUCAGGCGCUGUGUUAAUGAGCCUCAUGGCCUAUUUCUCUGUAUGUGAACAGACAAACUAAACGUCAGCACACAUUUGGAACCUAAUGGUUUGCAGCUCAACCACAAACAUUUUCAGGGUCACUGGAAUGUGGGUUCUCAUGAGCUGUCAUCAUCCAAAUGAAGUGUGUCUUAUAGUAUUUCCACAUUUUUACAUUACAUUUUUUGGCAUGAAUGUAAACAAAGCAGCUUUUGUUUUUUCAGGGUAUUCUGUUUUGUUGUACUUGUGUAAAUGCUGUGCAUAUAGUUCAGGCCGGUCUCAGUGUGACGCCUGCAAUGAGCUACCUCUGAUUAAACUGCAACCACAGUCAGGGUUAAAAUAAACUGUGAUAACAAAGAUGGUCCUUCA
rnacentral:lncRNA from 1 species